CAGCCCAGGGCGGUGCUGGGGGCGCCUGAGGCCGCGUGGGGCGGGGACAAAGCCGCGCCGCUGGUGCCCGGUCCCUCCGUGUCCCUCCGUGUCCCUCCGUGCCGGCUGGGCUCCGCUUCCGGCCUGGAGCCAUGUGCGCGGCUGGCAGUGGGAAGGGCGAGCUCGGCUGGGCCGUGUGCAGCUCUGUGGGUGUGCGGGGCCGACGCCGGCGCUGCUCGCCGUGUAGGUGGGGAAUGCCGGAAGGGUUCGCAAAAUCGCACAACUAUUUGGUUUGGAAAGGACCUGUGGUGAUCAUGCAGUCCAACACCCCCUGCCAGCAGCAGGUGGCACAGGAACGUGUCCAGGUGGGGUUUGAAUGUCCCCAGAGGGGAGAAUCCGCGAUCUCCCUGGGCAGCCUGUUCCAUCGCACUCUCACCGCCCUGUGUGUAUGGAAACACAGAGGACAUUUUGAAGGGAAAAGAAAGCAGUCAGGAAAGAAGUUCAAUUAUUUAUGGUGAGCAGAUGGAUUUAGCAAACCUGCCUGCUGAGACAGAGGCAUGACUGUGCAAAUCAGGUAAGUGCUUAGCGGUCACAGAUAAAUCCUCUCUGCAGCCUUGGUACUGUUCAUACUAUACGUAUGGGGCUAGAUGCAUAUAUUGCACUCAAACUUACAAUCCUUUUUAAAUGAAAAAUUUCUGCAGAGGGUAUAUGUAGAGUUUAUGAAACACUGUGUAUUUAUAUAGCUGAGCACAUCCUCUGUGGCACACUAUCCUGGCUUUCCAGAGCAGGAGGUUUCAUCUGCAUUCAUAGUCCAGAUAUUUUGUCUCACUUUACUCAGGUUAUACUGAUACUUACCUCCAUUUUCUGAGGCAGAGCCUUCACUCCAUAUAUAUAAUUUAUUCAUCCCAAGCUUUCUUGGACUUCAGUAAGAAUUUUUCCUGGUAAGUCAUGAAGAAACAAUGCAUACUCAGGCUCUCUGGUACACAUGCCAUUAUUAAUUUCAUGUCUAAAUUUGGUUGCCUGAACUUUGACUGUCACUGCCAAUAGCAACUGACCACAAACAUUAUCCUUAACAGUAACAGCAUUACAGAGCAACUGUGACCCCAUGGAAAAAGAAAGAUAAGGUUCUGACAAACAUGAAGCCCUUGCAAACAUUUUGCAGUAGCUAAUAAGAUUUCGUUGGAAUAAGGAUUAACACAUUUUUUUAAACAUGACUCUAUAUUUGUCUCUAAUUUAUUGUUUCUUGUGGGGCAAGCCAUAGCAAACAAAUGACUUUGAAUAGUGAAUGUAAUUGCUAUUGUAAAACUGUGUUGUAAAAUAAUGUAUUUCAUGCAUCUUAAGGCCUUGUGUGUUGUCAGUUUAUGUCUUGCUUCACUUGAUUCUCUGUCUUUUGCAAAAUUUUGUUUCCUAAUACCAACCACUAAGUUUAUACUAAGAAUUACCCAGGAAAACUUUGUGCUAUUCUGAAAUAAAAUGUAUAUAUAAUUUUAAA